CAAACCCUAGCCUCCAAACCUCAUUUUCCUCACUUCACACUCUCUCUCUCUCUGUUCAACUCUCCCUCUCUCUCAUCCGAUCCUCUCUUUCUUUGAUUCGCCGGCCGCCGCAGUACCCCAAUCAACAUCAAAAUUUCCAGAUUUUCUCCUCUUUAUUCCCUCUAUUUAUUUCUCAAAACAAAAUCGUGAGAUUUAGCCAUUCAAUCAUCCAAAAACUCUAGAACCCAAAAUUAAUUUGGGGGUUUUUGUGACUUCUUCAUUCUAAGUCCAAAUCAAGGCUACGGGUUUGGCAAGGAUUUGUGGUAAGGAUCUAUUCCAUGCAACCUUAUUUUGAGUUUUUGGUUGUAGGUGCUGUUUUUGGACGGAUUUGUAAGUGAAAAAGACUAAGGAGGAGGAGAGGCCACGGUUUUUGGAGAAGAAAGGGAUAGUUGAAAAAAUUACUGUGUAGGAGAUCGAGGGGCUUGGUUUUGAUCUUUUGUUGUUUACUCUGAGUUACAAGUGUAUGAUUUUGGUGGCCUCGGCGUGUUGGGUCCAGUUUUUUGCGAUGGUGGGGAACACUGUCAGGAGCUGCUCGUAGAUCGGCGCCGCCUCCGAGAUCGAAAAACGGUGGGCCUAAUUGGCCUGAUGACUGGCCAUUGUAUUUGGGAUUAUGGUGAGGUAAAUGUGGGUUCAAGAAUCUCUACUUAGACCUGUAAAUGGACCGGAUUUUGAUCCAGACCCGCUCCAGAUCCAUGGCUAUUAACGGGUUUGGAUUGAAAAUUUUGAUCCGUUGAUCUGUUAAUGAUCCGAAUCCGUUAACCCGUUUAUUUAACGGAUCAAAUACGGAUUUAGGUCGAUCCGAUCCGUUAAUGAUCCGGCCCGUUUUUGUAAUAAUACAAUAUUAUUUUUUAUUAAUAUGUUAUUAUUUUUUUAAAAUAUAAAAUAUAAAAUAUGAAGAAUUUCUAAUACAGAUUUUUUGCAAAAAUCUAAGAGACAGUCCAUCACCUAAGAUUCCAAAAAACAUUAAGAAUUUUGAUAAUGUAAUUCUACUUUUGGUGAUCAUUUUCAUGUUGUUUUAAUAUUUUAUUAAUAUCUUAUGAGGUAUCAUGAUAUAAAUUUAAUAUUACUAUUUAAAAUUUUAAAAUAUUUGAAAUUAUAAACGGGUCGGAUUAGCGGAUCGGGUAUCCGUUAAUCCGGCGGGUACGGAUUUGGAUCGAGCUAUCAAUGAUCCGUCGGGUUAACGGAGCGGGUUUGGAUCAAAUUUUUUUUUUAAGUAAACGGAUUUGGAUUUAGGUUGAUCCGGUCCAAAUCCGGUCUAUUUAUAGGUCUAUCUCUACUGUGUCACUUAUAUAAGGUCAAACAAUAAUCCAACACAAAACAAAGGUUAGCUCAGUGGAUAAGGCUGGCUUAACGAUAUUUUGGCUGCGUGGGUUCGAAUGGUCGAUCUAGCUCAACUUCGUUUUUCUUUUUCUUAUUUUAAUUAUUUCUUUCUAUAAUCUUUUUUUUUUUGGGCCAAUGAUAAAAAAAUGUUAUUUUCAAGUGCCUUAUUAUAAUUCAGGACACACAAAUGUCCUCAUGAUAACUAAGGUCACAUCUUUACAACCUACCAUUAGAAAUAACAAAAUUUACAACUCAUGCCAUCGUCUCCCGCUUCCCCAAUCCAUUUCAGAAUAUAAUUAACCCUUCUCUCUCUCUCUCUCUCAAUUGACCUCACCGCCAUGGCUCGAAGAUCUUCUGCCACCUUCUAACAAAGCCCCAACCCGGCAUCACGGUCCAAACCCGAUCGUUCACCUACAUGCCCCCACCCGGCGACGGAGCUCCGCGUGCCGUAACCAAAAUCCCUGGCGACGGAAUCGGACCGCUCGUCACGAACGCCGUCGAGAAGGUGAUGGAGGCGAUGCACGCGCCGUUUUACUUCGAGAAGUACGAUGUCACCAGCGAGAUGCCGAGGGUGCCGGAGGAGGUGAUUGAGUAGAUCAUAAAGAACAAGGUGUGCCUGAAAGGCAAGCUGGCGACGCCGAUGGGCAGCGGCGUUAGCUCGCUGAACAUGAAGCUCCGGCGAGAUCUCGAUCUCUAUGCUUCGUUGGUCAACUGCUUCAAUAUGCGUUACAGACCAGGCAUGACAACAUCGACAUUGUGGUGAUCAGGGAGAACACCGAGGGUGAGUACUCGGGGCUCGAGCACGAGAUCAUUCAUGGAGUUGUUGAAAGCCUUAAAGGUACUUUUUGGAGGAUUUGAUGCCUCCAAUAAUUUGAUAAAGCUUGGAGGAAGAUAGAUGUUGCCUUUGGACUGCUUGCCUCGUAAUAGAAGACCUGCUUCUACAGAGAAGGUGACAGAUAAGGUGAAAGAUAUAUGUAACUUGAAAAUUGAGCAGCAGCAAAGGAAGCAACAUGGACAGGAGUCCAAGGAGGAGAAGAAAGAGCGGAAGGUAUGGGUCUGCUAUUUGUUUUAGCUCAUCUUGGACAUGAUAUUUUAUUCAUCUUGCCUUACCAUUAAAGAUUAAUAUGCCAGCUUAUGAUAAUGAAAAUCCAGAAACUGUCAUUGUAAGAGUAAACUGUGAGCAUAUAACUUGCAUUCAAAUAUCUCAUAGCUACUGAUUUUGGCAUUUGAUAAUUCCAGGAAUUGUACCUUCUGUUUUGUAGUUGUGUUGGUAAAUUUAUGUUGGUUCUUUGAUGAUAACUUGAAUAUAUCUAAGUGCAAGCAACUGUCAAUGAGGAAAGACAUGAGGCAUGGCACGCUAAAAAGAAAUUGAAGGGACUUUACAAGGGUGAAGGGCAACAUUCUCAGAGAGUAGCUGCUAUAUCUGGCUCUUCUUCCAAACGUUUGAUGUGAUUGGGCUGAUCAUCAAAUGGUGAAACUAAGAGUGCAUUGGAUUUUUGUCAAGAAGUGUGGCACCCCCUCAGCUUUCAUGGUUUGAAGCACGUAUAUGUCAUCAGUUUUAAGAGAAUGGAUACAAGUUGGUUUAAAACAACAUAUCAUCGAUUCAAAUCUAUGUUUCUGAUGUUGUGGACAUGUCAUAGUAUAUAGGAUAUGAGUUGAGUAGUUCUUUAGGGCUAGAGAUUGAAGAUAAUAAAUCGUCUCUCUUCAACAUAUUUCAUUUCUUUUUGUCUGGAUAUUUCUAGUGAAGCCACAGGCCAUGUCAAUGACAAUGUCAGUUACAUGGUCAGUUACAUACAUUGUAAGUUACAUGGUUAGUUACAUGAUCAGUUACAUGGUCAGUUACAUACAUUGUAAGCUAGAGCUUGAAGAUAAUAAAUCGUCUCUCUUCAACA